rnacentral:rRNA from 1 species
GUGGGUAGUUUGACUGGGGCGGUCUCCUCCUAAAGAGUAACGGAGGAGCACGAAGGUUGGCUAAUCCUGGUCGGACAUCAGGAGGUUAGUGCAAUGGCAUAAGCCAGCUUGACUGCGAGCGUGACGGCGCGAGCAGGUGCGAAAGCAGGUCAUAGUGAUCCGGUGGUUCUGAAUGGAAGGGCCAUCGCUCAACGGAUAAAAGGUACUCCGGGGAUAACAGGCUGAUACCGCCCAAGAGUUCAUAUCGACGGCGGUGUUUGGCACCUCGAUGUCGGCUCAUCACAUCCUGGGGCUGAAGUAGGUCCCAAGGGUAUGGCUGUUCGCCAUUUAAAGUGGUACGCGAGCUGGGUUUAGAACGUCGUGAGACAGUUCGGUCCCUAUCUGCCGUGGGCGCUGGAGAACUGAGGGGGGCUGCUCCUAGUACGAGAGGACCGGAGUGGACGCAUCACUGGUGUUCGGGUUGUCAUGCCAAUG